CCUACCGGGGGCAGCAGUGGGGAAUAUUGGACAAUGGGGGCAACCCUGAUCCAGCCAUGCCGCGUGUGUGAAGAAGGCCCUCGGGUUGUAAAGCACUUUCAGUGAGGAAGAACGCCUGGUGGUUAAUACCCAUCAGGAAAGACAUCACUCACAGAAGAAGCACCGGCUAACUCCGUGCCAGCAGCCGCGGUAAUACGGAGGGUGCGAGCGUUAAUCGGAAUUACUGGGCGUAAAGCGCGCGUAGGUGGCUUGAUAAGCCGGUUGUGAAAGCCCCGGGCUCAACCUGGGAACGGCAUCCGGAACUGUCAAGCUAGAGUGCAGGAGAGGAAGGUAGAAUUCCCGGUGUAGCGGUGAAAUGCGUAGAGAUCGGGAGGAAUACCAGUGGCGAAGGCGGCCUUCUGGACUGACACUGACACUGAGGUGCGAAAGCGUGGGUAGCAAACAGGAUUAGAUACCCGUGUAGUC
rnacentral:rRNA from 1 species